rnacentral:rRNA from 1 species
CCAAUAGCGUAUAUUAAAGUUGUUGCAGUUAAAAAGCUCGUAGUUGAAUUUCGAGACCGGCUUACUGGUCGUGCUAUUGUACGUACUGGUAUAAUCGGUUUCUCCUUUCUGACGAACUAUAAUGCCAUUAAUUUGGUGUUAUAGGGAAUCAGGACUGUUACUUUGAAAAAAUUAGAGUGUUUAAAGCAGGCUCACGCUUGAAUACAUUAGCAUGGAAUAACGGAAUAGGACGUUUGAUUCUAUUUUGUUGGUUUCUAGGAUCGACGUAAUGAUUAAUAGGGAUAGUUGGGGGCAUUAGUAUUCAAUUGUCAGAGGUGAAAUUCUUGGAUUUAUUGAAGACUAACUACUGCGAAAGCAUUUGCCAAGGAUGUUUUCAUUAAUCAAGAACGAAAGUUAGGGGAUCGAAGACGAUCAGAUACCGUCGUAGUCUUAACCAUAAACUAUGCCGACUAGGGAUCGGAUGAUGUUAAUUUUUUAAUGACUCAUUCGGCGCCUUAC